GACGAACGCUGGCGGCGUGCUUAACACAUGCAAGUCGAACGAUGAACCCGGAGCUUGCUCCGGUGGAUUAGUGGCGAACGGGUGAGUAACACGUGAGUAACCUGCCCUUGACUCUGGGAUAACUGCGGGAAACUGUAGCUAAUACCGGAUACGACCCUCGGCGGCAUCGCCAGGGGGUGGAAAGAAUUUCGGUCAAGGAUGGACUCGCGGCCUAUCAGCUAGUUGGUGAGGUAACGGCUCACAAAGGCGACGACGGGUAGCCGGCCUGAGAGGAUGACCGGGCACGCUGGGCCUGAGACACGACCCCGACCCCUACGGGAGGCAGCAGUGGGGAAGAUUGCACAACGGGCGCAAGCCUGAUGCAGCAACGCCGCGUGAGGGAUGGCGGCCUUCGGGUUGUAAACCUCUUUUAGUAGGGAAGAAGCGAAAGUGACGGUACCUGCAGAAAAAGCACCGGCUAACUACGUGCCAGCCGCCGCGGUAA
rnacentral:rRNA from 1 species